CCAUAUUGAGUAAAGCCGUUGCCUGCUUGCCGACCUUGACCAUAUGUCCUUCCUAUGCUAAUUCCCUGCCGGUAUCCACCCUCCUGAAUGCUUUAGGGAAGUUCCUUGUUUGUGUAUCCUACAUAUUGGGCGUUAACAGCUUAGAUGCAAGAAUGUAGAACAUUCAGUAGCAAACUUCUGCCCUCCGGGGAUCCGCCAUUGUGCUGUAAGCCUGUAUUUAAGGUUUCCUCCCUCUUUCAAUAAACGGCAUUUGGCAUUUGGCAUUUGGCAUUCAGCUGAGGCAAAUGACCCGCUGUCUCUUGUCCCUUAUUUUUUUAAUCCACAGCCCCUCGCUCGGACAUGGUGAACGGGUGACAGUAAUGCGGGCGUUACCGUUACAAAUGGAGGUCCCUACCGAGAUUCUACCAAGACGUUACCGAGAUCCGAGAAAGAAGGGACGAGCUGAUGGACACCCGGACCUGCCAGCCUAAGUAGUGCUGGGAUGAAGAAAAAUGGGCCUUGGUGGUUCGUGUUCCUGGAGCUGCGUCCAUGCCAGUGGACCGUGACAGUUAGACACAGAUGAUGCUCACAUGCUCCAGAAGACUCUGACAUCGCUGUUGCCAUUGUUGCUGUUAUAGCGGUGGUGGCCACUGCUGCUACUAUUUCUGGGAUGGCUAUUUCAUAAUUGGGUUCUACAGCUAGCACAAUGGAGACCCUGGCAGCAAAAGUAGCUACCACAGUUAGUUAAUCUUUCAUUCUAUUGGGCAUGAUAAAUUUAAUUCAACAGUUAUAUACAUUUAAAUUGGCUUUGAAAGUUGCAAAAAUUAUUUAAACUCAAGUUCCAUUUGCGUAUGGGAUACCACCUUACAAGGACUCCAAUUUGCAGUAAGGCUCGUUUAAGAAGGGAAUGGCUCAAUCGCCUUUAGCCUCCUGGCUAUGGGUGGGUUAGGACUACUGUUGGUCUUUUCUGGGUCGCACAGAUUGCAAGCCCAGCGCCACUUUGAGAUCUUUGGCAACAGUUUACUCUACAGCUCACGUGGUUGAGCCUGUAUGAUAAUGAGUAUUCAGAGACGGGUAAUGCUUGGGGGGCGCUCACCAACCUAAGACAGAGCACUUGCGGGGCCUGGGCAGGUGUCUCCAUGACGGGUAAGGUGACCUGCUGACGUCCCACGCAACCUAAGUCAGAAGCUCAUUUUUUAGUAAAAAGGGGGGACCUGUAGGGCCCUGGUCUCCUCCCAUAUUGAGUAAAGCCGUUGCCUGCUUGCCGACCUUGACCAUAUGUCCUUCCUAUGCUAAUUCCCUGCCGGUAUCCACCCUCCUGAAUGCUUUAGGGAAGUUCCUUGUUUGUGUAUCCUGCAUAUUGGGCGUUAACAGCUUAGAUGCAAGAAUGUAGAACAUUCAGUAGCAAACUUCUGCCCUCCGGGGAUCCGCCAUUGUGCUGUAAGCCUGUAUUUAAGGUUUCCUCCCUCUUUCAAUAAACGGCAUUUGGCAUUUGGCAUUUGGCAUUCAGCUGAGGCAAAUGA